rnacentral:rRNA from 1 species
AGCUCCAAUAGCGUAUAUUAAAGUUGUUGCGGUUAAAAAGCUCGUAGUUGGAUCUCGGCGGGCUGGGGGCGGUUCGCUUUUUUGCGCUACUGUCCCCCUUUGGCCGUGGGUUUGGCGGAGGUUUCGGGGUGCUCUUAGCUGAGUGACCCGGGGCGCCGUCAGGUUUACUUUGAAAAAAUUAGAGUGCUCAAAGCAGGCUUUUCACGCUUGAAUAUUCGUGCAUGGAAUAAUGGAAUAGGAACUCGUUUCUAUUUUGUUGGUUUUCGGAAAUCGAGUUAAUGAUUAACAGGGACAAUUGGGGGCAUUAGUAUUCAGACGACAGAGGUGAAAUUCUUGGACCGUCUGAAGACUGACUACUGCGAAAGCAUUUGCCAAGAGUGUUUUCA